UGGAGGAUGAAGGUCCUAUGGAUCGUAAACUCCUUUUCUGAGGGAAGAAAACUGGUGGAGCCACCAGGCUGACGGUACCUCAGGAAGAAGCACCGGCUAACUCCGUGCCAGCAGCCGCGGUAAUACGGAGGGUGCAAGCGUUGUCCGGAAUCACUGGGUGUAAAGGGUGUGUAGGCGGGGCGAUAAGUCUAUGGUGAAAGCCUGCGGCUCAACCGCAGAAUUGCCGUGGAUACUGUCGUUCUUGAGUACCGGAGGGGUCACUGGAAUUCGUGGUGUAGCGGUGAAAUGCGUAGAUAUCACGAGGAACACCGGAGGUGUAGACGGGUGACUGGACGGAGACUGACGCUGAGGCACGAAAGCGUGGGGAGCAAACAGGAUUAGAUACCCUGGUAGUCCACGCCGUAAACGA
rnacentral:rRNA from 1 species